CCUACGGGUGGCUGCAGUGGGGAAUAUUGGACAAUGGGCGAAAGCCUGAUCCAGCCAUGCCGCGUGUGUGAAGAAGGCCUUCGGGUUGUAAAGCACUUUCGGUGGGGAAGAAAGCCUUGGGGCUAAUACCCUCGAGGAAGGACAUCACCCACAGAAGAAGCACCGGCUAACUCCGUGCCAGCAGCCGCGGUAAUACGGAGGGUGCGAGCGUUAAUCGGAAUUACUGGGCGUAAAGCGCGCGUAGGCGGUCUGAUAAGCCGGUUGUGAAAGCCCCGGGCUCAACCUGGGAACGGCAUCCGGAACUGUCAGGCUAGAGUGCAGGAGAGGAAGGUAGAAUUCCCGGUGUAGCGGUGAAAUGCGUAGAGAUCGGGAGGAAUACCAGGGGCGAAGGCGGCCUUCUGGACUGACACUGACGCUGAGGUGCGAAAGCGUGGGUAGCAAACAGGAUUAGAUACCCUAGUAGUC
rnacentral:rRNA from 1 species